rnacentral:tRNA from 1 species
GCCAAGGUGCUGAAACCGGUAUACAGGUUAGUCUCAAAAACUAAUGGGAGUAAUUUCCCGUGGGGGUUCGAUUCCCCCCCUUGGCA